rnacentral:rRNA from 1 species
GGAGCCACGGGAGGCAGCAGUAGGGAAUAUUGCUCAAUGGGGGAAACCCUGAAGCAGCAACGCCGCGUGGAGGAUGAAGGUUUACGGAUUGUAAACUUCUUUUGUUAGAGAAGAUAAUGACGGUAUCUAACGAAUAAGCACCGGCUAACUCCGUGCCAGCAGCCGCGGUAAUACGGAGGGUGCAAGCGUUACUCGGAAUCACUGGGCGUAAAGAGCGCGUAGGCGGGAUAGCAAGUCAGAUGUGAAAUCCUAUGGCUUAACCAUAGCACUGCAUUUGAAACUGUUAGUCUAGAGUAUGGGAGAGG